rnacentral:misc_RNA from 1 species
GAUGAAGAACGUAGCGAAAUGCGAUACGUAAUGUGAAUUGCAGAAUUCAGUGAAUCAUCGAGUCUUUGAACGCACAUUGGGCCCCCUGGUAUUCCGGGGGGCAUGCCUGUCCGAGCGUCAUUGCUGCCCUCAAGCACGGCUUGUGUGUUGGGCCUCCGUCCUCCUCCCGGGGGACGGGCCCGAAAGGCAGCGGCGGCACCGCGUCCGGUCCUCGAGCGUAUGGGGCUUCGUCACCCGCUCUUGUAGGCCCGGCCGGCGCUUGCCGACACAUCAAUCUUUUUUCCAGGUUGACCUCGGAUCAGGUAGGGAUACCCGCUGAACUUAAGAAUAUCAAUAAGCGGAGGA